GACGAACGCUGGCGGCGUGCUUAACACAUGCAAGUCGAGCGGAGCGGCGAACGGGUGAGUAACGCGUGAGUAACUGCCCCCCUCUCUGGGAUAACAGUUGGAAACGGCUGCUAAUACCGUAUAGUGGGGUAUGGCUCGCGUCCUAUCAGCUUGUUGGUUGGGUAGUGGCCUACCAAGGCGACGACGGGUAGCCGGCCUGAGAGGGGGACCGGCCACGUUGGGCUGAGUUACGGUCGAAACUCCUACGGGAGGCAGCAGUGUGGAAUAUGGCACAAUUGGUGAAACGCUGAUGCAGCAACGCCGCGUGCGGGAUGUCGUCCUUCGGGUUGUAAACCGCUGUCGGCCAUGACGCGGUAGUGGCAGAAGAAGCACCGGCUUACUACGUGCCAGCAGCCGCGGUAAUUC
rnacentral:rRNA from 1 species